rnacentral:rRNA from 1 species
UACGUAGAGCGCAAGCGUUGUCCGGAAUUAUUGGGCGUAAAGAGCUCGUAGGCGGCUUGUCACGUCGGAUGUGAAAGCCCGAGGCUUAACCUCGGGUCUGCAUUCGAUACGGGCUAGCUAGAGUGUGGUAGGGGAGAUCGGAAUUCCUGGUGUAGCGGUGAAAUGCGCAGAUAUCAGGAGGAACACCGGUGGCGAAGGCGGAUCUCUGGGCCAUUACUGACGCUGAGGAGCGAAAGCGUGGGGAGCGAACAGG